rnacentral:rRNA from 2 species
GCGAGCGUUAUCCGGAAUCACUGGGUUUAAAGGGUGCGUAGGCGGAUUAGCAAGUCAGAGGUGAAAGCUCUCAGCUUAACUGAGGAACUGCCUUUGAAACUGCUAGUCUUGAAAUAUGGUGAGGUUGGCGGAAUGAGUCAUGUAGCGGUGAAAUGCAUAGAUAUGACUUAGAACACCGAUUGCGAAGGCAGCUGACUGGCCAUUAUUUGACGCUGAGGCACGAAAGCGUGGGGAGCGAACAGGAUUAGAUACCCUGGUAGUCCACGCCCUAAACGAUGUAUACUCGACGUUUGGAUUUAUUUCUGGGCGUCCAAGGGAAACCGUUAAGUAUACCACCUGGGGAGUACGUCGGCAACGAUGAAACUCAAAGGAAUUGACGGA